GGCGGUAUGCUUAACACAUGCAAGUCGAACGAGACGAGAUGGAAGGAUCCUUCCGGGUGACCGGAAAUCUUAGGAAAGUGGCGAACGGGUGAGUAACGCGUGGGUAACCUGCCCUAUGGAAAGGAAUAGCCUCGGGAAACUGGGAGUAAUGCCUUAUAAUACAUUGAAGUCGCAUGGCUUUGAUGUUAAACGCUCCGGUGCCAUAGGAUGGACCCGCGUCCCAUUAGCUAGUUGGUGAGAUAACAGCCCACCAAGGCGACGAUGGGUAACCGGUCUGAGAGGGCGAACGGUCACACUGGAACUGAGACACGGUCCAGACUCCUACGGGAGGCAGCAGUGGGGAAUAUUGCCGCAAUGGGGGAAACCCCGACGCAGCAAUACCGCGUGAGUGAAGAAGGUUUUCGGAUCGUAAAGCUCUGUUAUUGGGGAAGAAAAAAGACGGUACCCAAGAAGAAAGUCCCGGCUAACUACGUGCCAGCCGCCGC
rnacentral:rRNA from 1 species